UAGGGAAUCUUCGGCAAUGGGGGCAACCCUGACCGAGCAACGCCGCGUGAGUGAGGAAGGUUUUCGGAUCGUAAAGCUCUGUUGUAAGAGAAGAACGUGUGUGAGAGUGGAAAGUUCACACAGUGACGGUAACUUACCAGAAAGGGACGGCUAACUACGUGUCAG
rnacentral:rRNA from 1 species